rnacentral:rRNA from 1 species
CGCCUCCUGCAAAAAUCAACGUAUAGGAGGUCCUGCCUGCCCAGUGACGACUAGUUAAACGGCCGCGGUAUUUUGACCGUGCUAAGGUAGCGCAAUCACUUGUCUUUUAAAUGAGGACCUGUAUGAAUGGCGAAACGAGGGCUUAACUGUCUCCUUUCUCCAGUCAAUGAAAUUGAUCUGCCCGUGCAGAAGCGGGCAUACCAAUACAAGACGAGAAGACCCUUUGGAGCUUAAGAUAAAAGGUCAACUAAGUCAAAGGCCCAAAUAAACUUAAGCCAAACAAACAGUUAACUGACCCCUAUCUUCGGUUGGGGCGACCACGGGGGAAAACAAAGCCCCCGCGCAGAAUGGGGAUUACACCCUAGAACUAAGAGGGACACCUCUAAGUCACAGAACAUCUGACCAAGCAGAUCCGGCUAACAGGCCGAUCAACGGACCAAGUUACCCUAGGGAUAACAGCGCAAUCCCCUCCAAGAGUCCAUAUCGACAAGGGGGUUUACGACCUCGAUGUUGGAUCAGGACAUCCUAAUGGUGCAGCCGCUAUUAAGGGUUCGUUUGUUCAACGAUUAAAGUCCU